GUCAGACAGCUAGUGGGGUUUCGGGAAGCCGUCAGAUGAAAGCACUAGUCUCGGCUGUAGACUAGAAAAACGCGUUUAUUACUUUUGUUUGGCUUUUGGCUAGGAGAGGAGAGAAGGAACACUGUAACAAGCCUGUCUCUACAGCUCGUGCCGCUCCACUCGGGCAGAACACCGCGCCAUGCAGCCUGCACCUCACGCAACUGCAAUAAUUCAGCCUGGCGAACAGCUCCCUUGCAGAUUGAAGAGUAAUGCAUUAUUGAAAGGCUAUAUCAAACAGCUCGGGGGGGGGGGGGGGGGGGGGGGGGGGGCUCUCUUUUUUUGUUGUUGCUCUGCUCUCCUCAGACCGACCGACCGGCCAGGCAGGGGCUCGAGAUGAAGUCCCGGUGUCUGACGGAACUAAAGCUCCUAAUAUGUUAAUGACCGUAGGGGAUGCCGGAAGGUACUGGCCGGGUUACUACCGGCCUCAGCUGCCGCAGCACCAUAUGUCAACCCGGUUGGCCACGUGUAUAUCUAUUAAUCAAGAAGAUGUUGCAUAUUAAAAAACAACAACUUAUUAAACAAUAUCCAUUCCAGUUAAACCAAUAAUAACUACUAUAGCACCAGUAAUGGCGACACAAAUGACAAAUAAAAAAUCAGACAUGGA